GCCCAAACCUUCACCCAAACCUAACAGUCCUUGCGCUGACUGGGAAAAGAACCCGCCCAAUGCGGAUCCUCGUUUUUUUUUGCCGGCCCACCAGCCGGCCCACCUACUCUGCCCAACGAAAGGAGCGGGAAGGGCAAACCAUCCGGACCAUGCGGCCCAUCGCAGGCAGAGCUCCCACAGCCAAAGAGCAGCGCUGUCAUGGCUAAUGUCUCAUCAUCGAGCGAUAUCCCCAAACCAAGGUUCCCCAAACCCACAGAUGUGCCCAACAGAGAAGGCAAAGUCCCCCGGGUUCCUGCUGUGCCACCACAGCCUGCUGAGGUGAACAACUCGAUACCAAGACAAAGUAUGAGUUUCCCCAGGGUGAAGCAGAUGAUUGACCAUCACACCAACACCCCACUGCUGCUCCUCGAAUACACGAACCGGAGCGCUGAUUCUUUGACCGUCACCAUGCAAAAUGUGGGGGGGUUGUAAUGUUGUUUGUAUGUUUUAGUCAACGGAAUGAGAGAAAAUGAAAUAUUUUGGACCACGGCCGAUGGUUUUGCACCGAGAUGCGUUCGCUCAGCAUUUACCUCUGUUCUCCACAUGCUCCAGGGUUUCAGGUCCGGCCGGGGGCUGCUGCUUCAGCGCCUGUUGGCUUUUCAGAAAACGCCGGCUCAACGCAAACAAUCAGGUUGUUUGAUCACUGAGUGAACUGAUGGUGAACUAAAUGGUUCCACAAUGAAAAAAGAGAAGCUCCCAACAGAUGAAACUAUCAAAACAAUUUGGGGAACAGACUAAAU
ensembl:lncRNA